GAUGUGAUGUUCUCCCGGGCGGGACGUGGGGCUAUAUAAGGGCCGUGAGCCCUGGCAUUCAUCACCGCAGCCUCCUGGGAGGCGGACGGAUACAAUUUCUACGUCUGUAGUUUGCCUGAGACUUUUUGGCCUUGUAACUCUGGCUCUUUCUUACCUUGGGCAUUAUCCACCUGAACGUUAUGUUCCAGCCCACUUCGUCAUCACUACACUAGCAGUCCUUAUUCUGGGGUCAUUAUCCAAGUAUUUUAUGCCACAGCUCUAUCAACUAUAUCUACCUUUGCUGGCACACUUGUAAC